rnacentral:rRNA from 1 species
GUGAGGAAUAUUGCGCAAUGGAGGCAACUCUGACGCAGCCAUGCCGCGUGCAGGAAGAAGGCGCUACGCGUUGUAAACUGCUUUUAACCGGGAAGAAACCCCAGGACGUGUCCUGGGUUGACGGUACCGGAGGAAUAAGCACCGGCUAACUUCGUGCCAGCAGCCGCGGUAAUACGAAGGGUGCAAGCGUUAUCCGGAUUCAUUGGGUUUAAAGGGUGCGUAGGCGGAGCGUUAAGUCAGUGGUGAAAUCCUGCAGCUUAACUGUAGACUUGCCAUUGAUACUGGCGCUCUUGAGUGCGCUUGAAGUGGGCGGAAUGUGCCGUGUAGCGGUGAAAUGCUUAGAUAUGGCACAGAACACCAAUUGCGAAGGCAGCUUACUGGGAUGCAACUGACGCUGAGGCACGAAAGCGUGGGGAUCAAACAGGAUUAGAAACCCCAGUAGUCC